GAAUUCGCCCUUAGAGUUUGAUCCUGGCUCAGGAUGAACGUUGGCGGUGUGCCUAAUACAUGCAAGUCGAACGGUGACGAUUUUGUAGCAAUACGAAUGAAAUCAUAGUGGCGAACGGGUGAGUAACGCGUUGGUGAUCUGCCUCGAAGUGUGGAAUAACUUCCCGAAAGGGUAGCUAAUACCGCAUAGUCUCUCAAGGUUUAGAAAAUUGAGAGUAAAGGAUUUAUUCGCUUCGAGAGGAGCCUGCGUCCCAUCAGCUAGUUGGUAGGGUAAUAGCCUACCAAGGCAAUGACGGGUAGGGGACCUGAGAGGGUGGCCCCCCACAAUGGAACUGAAACACGGUCCAUACACCUACGGGUGGCAGCAGUAGGGAAUAUUAGAAAUGGGCGAAAGCCUGAUCUAGCAACACCGCGUGUGCGAUGAAGGCCUUCGGGUUGUAAAGCACUUUUUGGAGGGAAUAGGAAGGAAGGUACCUCCAGAAUAAGUCUCGGCUAACUACGUGCCAGCAGCCGCGGUAACACGUAGGAGGCAAACGUUAUCCGGAUUCACUGGGCGUAAAGCGCGUGUAGGUGGUUCUGUAAGUAGGGCGUGAAAGCUCCCGGCUCAACUGGGAGAGGCCGUACUAAACUGCAGAGCUAGAGGAUGGUAGAGGGAGAUGGAAUUCCAGGUGUAGUGGUGAAAUGCGCAGAUAUCUGGAGGAACACCAGUGGCGAAGGCGGCCUCCUGGACCAUUCCUGACACUCAGACGCGAAAGCUAGGGUAGCAAACGGAAUUAGAGACUCCGGUAGUCCUAGCCCUAAACGAUGCAGACUAGGCGUCGGCGGUUUAAUCACCGUCGGUGUCCAAGCUAACGCGAUAAGUCUGCCGCCUGAGGACUACGGCCGCAAGGCUAAAACUCAAAGGAAUUGACGGGUCCCCGCACAAGCAGCGGAGCGUGUGGUUUAAUUCGAUGCUCCGCGAAGAACCUUACCUGGGUUUGACAUGCAGGUGAAUAUGGUAGAGAUAUCAUAGUCCUUCGGGACACCUGCACAGGUGGUGCAUGGUUGUCGUCAGCUCGUGUCGUGAGAUGUUGGGUUAAGUCCCGCAACGAGCGCAACCCCCGUUGUUAGUUGCCAUCAUUAAGUUGGGCACUCUAACGAGACUGCCGGUGACAAAUCGGAGGAAGGUGGGGAGGACGUCAAAUCAUCAUGCCCCUUAUGUCCUGGGCUACACACGUACUACAAUGGCUAUAACAGCAGGGAGGUAAGGAGUAAUCCGGAGCGAAUCCUCAAAAAUAGUCCCAGUUCGGAUUGUGGGGUGAAACUCGCCCACACGAAGUCGGAAUUGCUAGUAAUGGCAGGUCAGCAUACUGCCGUGAAUAAGUUCCCGGGCCUUGUACACACCGCCCGUCA
rnacentral:rRNA from 1 species